CCUCCGGCUCGCAGCGUUUAGCGUUAUAAGACGACACGAACACGGAGCCUCGGUCUUUCGCUUCCAAAAACACGGAGUCGUCGAAGUUGCUCCCAAAUAUUUCCAUGGAAAAUAUGGAAAUGAUGCGGAUUGUGUGUUUGGCGGACAAGCAGCUGGAGGGAGAUUACGAAGAAGUCCAUUCUCUAAGUUAUCCCCUCAAGCUCAUCAGAUGGUAACUGCUCCACCACAUCAGAGGGCAGCACCAUGCAAGGCGUUGUUGAUUUUCGGCGGCUUGACAUCAUUAGACUGUGCAAAUGUCUAUCUAGAGUAAAUGCAGUUUUAGGCAGAAGACUUGAGGCUCACAUGUCUUUGGAAGUCAUCUUCACGUACCAAGACUUUUCAGUUGUCUGGUAAAAGAAACAGAUGGAAAAUGUUGCAAAGUGCAUUCAAACAGAUUAUUUUAGGCAAGUGUGUACAUUUGAACAAAGUGUGCAUGUUAAAUUAAUCUAUUCUUAAUACACUUUGACAUUGUUUUUGAUUUUACACAUCUUAGUAUAUAAGAUAUUAUCCACAACCUAAUCAUAACACAAAUGAUACACCUCUCAGAAUAAAAUGCAUCGGUGUUAGGGCUGCAGCUAUCAAUUGUUUUAGUAAUCUUUCGAUUAGUUUAUUGGCUUAAUUGGUAAUCGGAUAAAUCACACUUUAUAGCAUCAAUCUGUAUUUUAAGGAAAAUAGCUGGUCCUGAGCAGUCCUGGGUUCAAUCCCGGGCUCGGAAUCUUUCUGUGUGGAGUUUGCAUGUUCUCCCCGUGACUGCGUGGGUUCCCUCCGGGUACUCCGGCUUCCUCCCACCUCCAAGAACAUGCACCUGGGGAUAGGUUGAUUGGCAACACUAAAUUGGCCCUAGUGUGUGAAUGUGAGUGUGAAUGUUGUCUGCCUAUCUGUGUUGGCUCUGCGAUGAUGUGGCGACUUGUCCAGGGUGUACCCCGCCUUCCGCCCGAAUGCAGCUGAGAUAGUC